rnacentral:lncRNA from 1 species
UUUUUUCCUUUUCUUUUCUUUUUCCUAGCCUCCGCUGUAGUCUUAUAUUUUUUCUGCUAUAUCAAAAACUCGCACAAUCUUAUGCGGUUUGUAAAAAAAAGGAACUAGGACCGUUUGGAAGUUGAUCAAAUCUGUUUGAGAUAAGUUCUGAUGGAUUCUGACUCGACACAUAUGAGCACUUUUAAAGGCUGGACGGUAGAUCUUACCAGGCUGCGAUCCGAUCAGCAGAUUGUGUUUGGGAUCACUGUAACUGUGUAUCAAGAGAGGGAAACAUAUGAACAUAAUUUACAGCCUGUUUAAGUCCAAUCAGUAUGAAGAAGAUGAGGGCAAGUUAUUUGGUUGGAUGUCACCGUUGGAGUAUGUUGGCUCAUCAGUGUCACAGCAAUGUAACAAUCUAGCUCGGUUCCUUGGCUAUUGUCUUAGUGACUGGCUUAAAGCCUUAAACCCGUCAUCUGAAUAUUUCUAGAUUGGCUCAGAGUCCUUUAUAACCAACCUACAAAGAUUUUGCAUAGGAAAUGUCAUGUGUGCAAUUGGCUGUUUGCUCGG